rnacentral:rRNA from 1 species
UACAGAGGGUGCAAGCGUUAAUCGGAAUUACUGGGCGUAAAGCGCGCGUAGUCGGUUAUUUAAGUCGGAUGUGGAAUCCCCGGGCUCAACCUGGGAAUUGCAUUCGACACUGGAUAGCUAGAGUCCGGAAGAGGAGAGUGGAAUUCCCGGUGUAGCGGUGAAAUGCGCAGAUAUCGGGAAGAACACCCGUGGCGAAGGCGGCUCUCUGGGACGGUACUGACGCUGAGACGCGAAAGCGUGGGGAGCGAACAGG